rnacentral:rRNA from 1 species
AGAGUUUGAUCAUGGCUCAGAUUGAACGCUGGCGGCAUGCCUUACACAUGCAAGUCGAACGGUAACAGGGAGCUUGCUCCGCUGACGAGUGGCGACGGGUGAGUAAUAUAUCGGAACAUACCCUAGAGUGGGGGAUAACGUAGCGAAAGUUACGCUAAUACCGCAUACGCACUAAGGUGGAAAGUGGGGGCUCGCAAGACCUCACGCUCAUGGAGUGGCCGAUAUCUGAUUAGCUAGUUGGUAGGGUAAAAGCCUACCAAGGCGACGAUCAGUAGCUGGUUUGAGAGAACGACCAGCCACACUGGGACUGAGACACGGCCCAGACUCCUACGGGAGGCAGCAGUGGGGAAUUUUGGACAAUGGGGGCAACCCUGAUCCAGCAAUGCCGCGUGAGUGAAGAAGGCCUUCGGGUUGUAAAGCUCUUUUGUCAGGGAAGAAACGGUGGUCUCUAAUACAGACUACUAAUGACGGUACCUGAAGAAUAAGCAUCGGCUAACUACGUGCCAGCAGCCGCGGUAAUACGUAGGGUGCAAGCGUUAAUCGGAAUUACUGGGCGUAAAGCGUGCGCAGGCGGUUAUAUAAGUCAGAUGUGAAAUCCCCGGGCUCAACCUGGGAACUGCAUUUGAGACUGUAUGGCUAGAGUGUGUCAGAGGGGGGUAGAAUUCCACGUAGCAGUGAAAUGCGUAGAUAUGUGGAGGAAUACCGAUGGCGAAGGCAGCCCCCUGGGAUAACACUGACGCUCAUGCACGAAAGCGUGGGGAGCAAACAGGAUUAGAUACCCUAGUAGUCC